UACGUGUGCUAACGCUUCCCGAAAGGGC
rnacentral:piRNA from 1 species